rnacentral:rRNA from 1 species
UACGUAGGGACCAAGCGUUGUUCGGAUUUACUGGGCGUAAAGGGCGCGUAGGCGGCAAUUCAAGUCAUCUGUGAAAUCUCCGGGCUUAACUCGGAACGGUCAGAUGAUACUGCUUUGCUAGAGUGCAGAAGGGGCAAUCGGAAUUCUCGGUGUAGCGGUGAAAUGCGUAGAUAUCGAGAGGAACACCUGAGGUGAAGACGGGUUGCUGGGCUGACACUGACGCUGAAGCGCGAAAGCUAGGGGAGCGAACGGG